rnacentral:rRNA from 1 species
GAUUUCUGGUUUGAUGCGCCUGGCCGACGGGGGUCAACUCCGCCAGUGUCGGUGUGUGUCUGCCAUCUUUCUAGUUAACCAGCUGCACUUAACUGGGCGGUUGGCGAUCUAGAUCAUUUACUUUGAAAAAAUUAGAGUGUUUAAAGCAGGCUUGCGCUAUGAAUACAUUAGCAUGGAAUAAUAAUUUAGGACUUUAUUUCUAUUUUAUUGGUUUCUAGAGAUAAAGUAAUGAUUGAUAGGGAUAGUUGGGGGUGCUAGUAUUCACCGGCCAGAGGUGAAAUUCUUGGAUUCGGUGAAGACUAACUUAUGCGAAAGCAUU